rnacentral:rRNA from 1 species
GACGAACGCUGGCGGCGUGCUUAACACAUGCAAGUCGAGCGGUAAGGCCCUUUCGGGGGUACACGAGCGGCGAACGGGUGAGUAACACGUGGGUGACCUGCCCUCAGCUCUGGGAUAAGCCUGGGAAACCGGGUCUAAUACCGGAUAUGACUCCAUGACGCAUGUUGUGGGGUGGAAAGCCUUGUGCGGCUGAGGAUGGGCCCGCGGCCUAUCAGCUUGUUGGUGGGGUGANGGCCUACCAAGGCGACGACGGGUAGCCGGCCUGAGAGGGCGACCGGCCACACUGGGACUGAGACACGGCCCAGACUCCUACGGGAGGCAGCAGUGGGGAAUCCUGCGCAAUGGGCGAAAGCCUGACGCAGCGACGCCGCGUGAGGGAUGACGGCCU